GGAGGAAUAUUGGGGCAAUGGGAGGGGAACUCUGACCCAGCCAUGCCGCGUGAGUGAAGAAGGUUUUCGGAUUGUAAAGCUCUUUCGCAUGGGACGAUGAUGACGGUACCAUGAUAAGAAGCCCCGGCUAACUUCGUGCCAGCAGCCGCGGUAAUACGAAGGGGGCAAGCGUUGUUCGGAAUUACUGGGCGUAAAGGGAGUGUAGGCGGUUUUGUAAGAUAGCGGUGAAAUGCCGGGGCUCAACCUCGGAAUUGCCGUUAUAGCUAUGAGACUAGAAUGAUAGAGAGGAUGGCGGAAUACCCAGUGUAG
rnacentral:rRNA from 1 species